rnacentral:rRNA from 1 species
GGGCCCGCACAAGCAGCGGAGCAUGUGGUUUAAUUCGAAGCAACGCGAAGAACCUUACCAAGGCUUGACAUCCUCUGACGCAUGUAGAGAUACAUGUUCCCUUCGGGGCAGAGAGACAGGUGGUGCAUGGUUGUCGUCAGCUCGUGUCGUGAGAUGUUGGGUUAAGUCCCGCAACGAGCGCAACCCUUAUUGCUAGUUGCCAGCAUGUAAUGAUGGGAACUCUAGUGAGACUGCCGGGGACAACUCGGAGGAAGGUGGGGACGACGUCAAAUCAUCAUGCCCCUUAUGUCUUGGGCUACACACGUGCUACAAUGGCCGGUACAAAGGGUAGCGAAGUCGCAAGAUGGAGCGAAUCUCAAAAAGCCGGUCCCAGUUCGGAUUGUGGGCUGCAACCCGCCACAUGAAGUCGGAGUUGCUAGUAAUCGCGAAUCAGCAUGUCG